rnacentral:snRNA from 1 species
GGACGUGAGGGUGAUCUGGCUGUGACAUCUGUCACCCAAUUGAUCACCAGGGUUGAUUCGGCUGAUCUGGCUGGCUAGGCAGGUGUCCCCUUCCUCCCUCACCGCUCCAUGUGGUCCCUCCCAAAGCUGCGUGCUCGGUCAAAGAGGAUGGCCUUCCCUGAAUAAAGACGGACGGGUCUUUGGUCGAGGGUAAAUGAGUAGCAGCACUCCCACUGCUAGAACCUCCAAACAAGCUCUCACGUAUUUUUCAUAGUUAUUAAAAAAAUCAGUAAAUAAAAAUACAAUCCCGGGAUGUCGAAGUAAAUUCAGACAAAGAAAACUUAGUGACAUACUC